GCACAAGCGGUUGGGAUUUAUGUUGUUAAUUCGACGCAACGCGAAGACCUUACCAGGCCUUGACAUACUCGGCAAAGCUCUAGAGAUAGAGUGGAGGUUAUCCGGGAUACAGGUGGUGCAUGGCUGUCGUCGGCUCGUGUCGUGAGAUGUUGGGUUAAGUCCCGCAACGAGCGCAACCCUUAUUGCUAGUUACCAUCAUUAAGUUGGGGACUCUAGCGAGACUGCCAGUGAUAAACUGGAGGAAGUGGGGAUGACGUCAAAUCAUCAUGCCCCUUAUGACCUGGGCUACAAACGUGAUACAAUGGCUGAAACAAAGGGCAGCGAAGCAGUGAUGUGAAGCGAAACCCAAAAAAGCAGUCUCAGUUCGGAUUGAAGUCUGCAACUCGACUUCAUGAAGUCGGAAUCGCUAGUAAUCGCGAAUCAGAACGUCGCGGUGAAUACGUUCUCGGGGUUU
rnacentral:rRNA from 1 species